rnacentral:tRNA from 1 species
GGUGAGGUGACCGAGCGGUUGAAGGUGCUCGCCCGGAACGCGAGUGUACGGGCAACUGUACCGAGGGUUCGAAUCCCUUCCUCACCG